CAGAGUAUAGCUAAGUAGCUAAAGCAUUUCCCUUACACUGAGAAGUUAUCCGUGCAAUCCGGAUUGCUCUGA
rnacentral:tRNA from 1 species